AGGCUUUGAUCGCUGGCUCAGGAUGAACGCUGGCGGCGUGCUUAACACAUGCAAGUCGAACGAACAUUCGGGUUAGUGGCGGACGGGUGAGUAACGCGUGAGAAUCUGCCCUCAGGAGGGGGAUAACGGCUGGAAACGGCCGCUAAUACCCCAUAUGCCGAGAGGUGAAACGAAUUAUCGCCUGAGGAUGAGCUCGCGUCUGAUUAGCUAGUUGGUGGGGUAAAGGCUUACCAAGGCGACGAUCAGUAGCUGGUCUGAGAGGAUGAUCAGCCACACUGGGACUGAGACACGGCCCAGACUCCUACGGGAGGCAGCAGUGGGGAAUUUUCCGCAAUGGGCGAAAGCCUGACGGAGCAACGCCGCGUGAGGGAUGAAGGCCUACUGGGCUGUAAACCUACUUUUCUACAAGGAAGAAGAUCUGACGGUACUUGAGGAAUAAGCCACGGCUAUCCGG
rnacentral:rRNA from 1 species